UACGUAGGGUGCGAGCGUUAAUCGGAAUUACUGGGCGUAAAGCGUGCGCAGGCGGUUUUGUAAGCCAGAUGUGAAAGCCCCGGGCUCAACCUGGGAAUGGCAUUUGGGACUGCAAGGCUUGAGUGCGGCAGAGGAGACUAGAAUUCCUGGUGUAGCAGUGAAAUGCGUAGAUAUCAGGAGGAAUACCGAUGGCGAAGGCAGGUCUCUGGGCUGACACUGACGCUCAUGCACAAAAGCGUGGGGAGCAAACAGG
rnacentral:rRNA from 1 species